rnacentral:rRNA from 1 species
GUGCCUAACACAUGCAAGUCGAGCGAUCUUCUUCGGAAGAGAGCGGCGGACGGGUGAGUAACGCGUGGGUAACCUGCCCUGUACACACGGAUAACAUACCGAAAGGUAUGCUAAUACGGGAUAACAUAAGAAAUUCGCAUGUUUUUCUUAUCAAAGCUCCGGCGGUACAGGAUGGACCCGCGUCUGAUUAGCUAGUUGGUGAGGUAACGGCUCACCAAGGCGACGAUCAGUAGCCGACCUGAGAGGGCGAUCGGCCACAUUGGAACUGAGACACGGUCCAAACUCCUACGGGAGGCAGCAGUGGGGAAUAUUGCACAAUGGGCGAAAGCCUGAUGCAGCAACGCCGCGUGAGCGAUGAAGGCCUUCGGGUCGUAAAGCUCUGUCCUCAAGGAAGAUAAUGACGGUACUUGAGGAGGAAGCCCCGGCUAACUACGUGCCAGCAGCCGCGGUAAUACGUAGGGGGCUAGCGUUAUCCGGAUUUACUGGGCGUAAAGGGUGCGUAGGCGGUCUUUUAAGUCAGGAGUGAAAGGCUACGGCUCAACCGUAGUAAGCUCUUGAAACUGGAGGACUUGAGUGCAGGAGAGGAGAGUGGAAUUCCUAGUGUAGCGGUGAAAUGCGUAGAUAUUAGGAGGAACACCAGUAGCGAAGGCGGCUCUCUGGACUGUAACUGACGCUGAGGCAC